UAAUAAUUCCAAUUUUAAAAUGCAAUUUAUUUGGCAAAAAUUCAUUAAACUUACUGCAUUACGAUAAAUGUCUAAAAUAGUAAAAUAUAUUAAUUCAUUAAUAACAAUAAUAUCAUAAGAAUAAAAAUAAAAUUUACCGACUUAGUAGUUAGUAUUUAGUAAUAUAAGCUCUACUCCUGGUAAUUUUGUAAUGUCACCCCUCAAAAUGUUUCCGCUUUAGGCCAGUACUUAUAAGUGUUAUAACGCGUAUCUGAGUAUAUGCCUAAAUACGCAUUUCGCAUCAGCACGUGUUUUGGUAAAUUAACUCAAAUAAAAGUUAAAUGCCAAUCUCGGUAUUCAAUUUUUUUUUCAAUUUUACUAUUAAUAUUUGAACGGAUACAGGCUUGCAUUACUUUAAUAAAUUGUAAUAUUACAUAUUUUUAACUUAUAACUGAUAACUGAUAACUAACUUUACUUGUACAUUUUUUUUUUUUUAGAAAACUUCUGGGCUUUCCUCGAGAUUUUUUUGAUUUUUCUUAGCUUACGAAAAAAAUACGUUUUUGAGCGGGAUCUAAGUAAAAAAGUGCCCUCUUAAUUCUUUACUUAUGUAUUGCGUCAGAAAUUCAACUUGCAAAUUUUUUUGGAAUCAAUGCCGUACUAAAUUUCAUUAGCGCCCCAGGGCAAUAAUAUUUGGCACUCCUAUUAAACACACAUAUUAAAACAUUUGCCGCCCUUUAAAAUGUUACAAUUUUUGACAUCUUAGGGCACUUGCCUCAUUCGUCACCCCUUUGGCACUGCUCUGGUUAGGAUUAUAAGUGGUAUAUAUCUGGAUUCCUAAUUUAAGUAAGUACCUAUAUAACAUCACAGAAUACAAUAAUAUAGGAAGUACAUAAUUGUACAUUUGUUAUUUGUACAUAUGAGAAGAACAUUAUUAUAAUAUCUGCUAGGUAAGUCAGCAAGUGUAUAAACUACCAUAAUGCAUAGACGACAGUGUAUACAGUUGGUAUUAUUAUAAAAAUAAAGCAUUUCCUAGUAAA